rnacentral:snRNA from 1 species
AUUUUGCGGCCAUCUUUAGCAGUU